UACGAAGGGGGCUAGCGUUGCUCGGAAUUACUGGGCGUAAAGGGCGCGUAGGCGGCGCUGUUAGUCAGGCGUGAAAUUCCUGGGCUUAACCUGGGGACUGCGCUUGAUACGGCAGUGCUAGAGGGUGGAAGAGGGUCGCGGAAUUCCCAGUGUAGAGGUGAAAUUCGUAGAUAUUGGGAAGAACACCGGUGGCGAAGGCGGCGACCUGGUCCAUUACUGACGCUGAGGCGCGACAGCGUGGGGAGCAAACAGG
rnacentral:rRNA from 1 species